GCACAGAAGUUAGCCGGUGCUUAUUCUGUCGGUAACGUCAAAACAGAUACGUAUUAGGUAACUGCCCUUCCUCCCAACUUAAAGUGCUUUACAAUCCGAAGACCUUCUUCACACACGCGGCAUGGCUGGAUCAGGCUUUCGCCCAUUGUCCAAUAUUCCCCA
rnacentral:rRNA from 1 species